AGUGAACGCUGGCGGUAGGCCUAACACAUGCAAGUCGAACGGCAGCACAGUAAGAGCUUGCUCUUACGGGUGGCGAGUGGCGGACGGGUGAGGAAUACAUCGGAAUCUACUUUUUCGGGGGGGAUAACGUAGGGAAACUUACGCUAAUACAGCAUACGACCUACGGGUGAAAGCAGGGGAUCUUCGGACCUUGCGCGAGUGAAUGAGCCGAUGUCGGAUUAGCUAGUUGGCGGGGUAAAGGCCCACCAAGGCGACGAUCCGUAGCUGGUCUGAGAGGAUGAUCAGCCACACUGGAACUGGGACACGGUCCAGACUCCUACGGGAGGCAGCAGUGGGGAAUAUUGGACAAUGGGCGCAAGCCUGAUCCAGCCAUACCGCGUGGGUGAAGAAGGCCUUCGGGUUGUAAAGCCCUUUUGUUGGGAAAGAAAAGCAGCAGGUUAAUACCCCGCUGUUCUGACGGUACCCAAAGAAUAAGCACCGGCUAACUUCGUG
rnacentral:rRNA from 1 species